rnacentral:rRNA from 1 species
GACGAACGCUGGCGGCGUGCUUAACACAUGCAAGUCGAGCGGUAAGGCCUUUCGGGGUACACGAGCGGCGAACGGGUGAGUAACACGUGGGUGACCUGCCUUUAGCUUCGGGAUAAGCCUGGGAAACCGGGUCUAAUACCGGAUAUGACUCCAUGACGCAUGUUGUGGGGUGGAAAGCCUUGUGCGGCUGAGGAUGGGCCCGCGGCCUAUCAGCUUGUUGGUGGGGUGAUGGCCUACCAAGGCGACGACGGGUAGCCGGCCUGAGAGGGCGACCGGCCACACUGGGACUGAGACACGGCCCAGACUCCUACGGGAGGCAGCAGUGGGGAAUCUUGCGCAAUGGGCGAAAGCCUGACGCAGCGACGCCGCGUGAGGGAUGACGGCCU